AGAAUCAACGCUGGCGGCGUGCCUAACACAUGCAAGUCGCACGAGAAAGGGGCUUCGGCCCUGAGUAAAGUGGCGCACGGGUGAGUAACACGUGAAUCAUCUACCUUCGAGUGGGGAAUAACUGGGAGAAAUCUCAGCUAAUACCGCAUAAUACCUACGGGUCAAAGCAGCAAUGCGCUUGAAGGGGAGUUCGCGGCAGAUUAGUUAGUUGGCGGGGUAAUGGCCCACCAAGACGAUGAUCUGUA
rnacentral:rRNA from 1 species